UAGUGGCAGACGGGUGAGUAAUGUAUAGGAAUCUACCUAGUAGUACGGAAUAAUUGUUGGAAACGGCAACUAAUACCGUAUACGCCCUACGGGGGAAAAAUUUAUUGCUAUUAGAUGAGCCUAUAUUAGAUUAGCUAGUUGGUGGAGUAAUAGCCUACCAAGGCAAUGAUCUAUAGCUGAUCUGAGAGGAUGAUCAGCCACACUGGAACUGAGAUACGGUCCAGACUCCUACGGGAGGCAGCAGUGGGGAAUAUUGGACAAUGGGCGAAAGCCUGAUCCAGCCAUGCCGCAUGAGUGAAGAAGGCCUUUGGGUUGUAAAGCUCUUUUAGUGAGGAAGAUAAUGCCGGUACUCACAGAAGAAGUCCUGGCUAACUCCGUGCCAGCAGCCGCGGUAAUACGGAGAGGGCUAGCGUUAUUCGGAAUUAUUGGGCGUAAAGGGCGCGUAGGCUGGUUAGUAAGUUAAAAGUGAAAUCCCGAGGCUUAACCUUGGAACUGCUUUUAAAACUGCUAACCUAGAGAUUGAAAGAGGAUAGAGGAAUUCCUAGUGUAGAGGUGAAAUUCGUAAAUAUUAGGAGGAACACCAGUGGCGAAGGCGUCUAUCUGGUUCAAAUCUGACGCUGAGGCGCGAAGGCGUGGGGAGCAAACAGGAUUAGAUACCCUGGUAGUCCACGCUGUAAACGAUGAAUGUUAAAUAUGGGAAGUUUACUUUCUGUAUUACAGCUAACGCGUUAAACAUUCCGCCUGGGGACUACGGUCGCAAGAUUAAAACUCAAAGGAAUUGACGGGGACCCGCACAAGCGGUGGAGCAUGUGGUUUAAUUCGAUGCAACGCGAAAAACCUUACCACUUCUUG
rnacentral:rRNA from 1 species